rnacentral:rRNA from 1 species
GAUGAACACUGGCGGCGUGCCUAAUACAUGCAAGUCGAGCGAACUGAUUAGAAGCUUGCUUCUAUGACGUUAGCGGCGGACGGGUGAGUAACACGUGGGCAACCUGCCUGUAAGACUGGGAUAACUUCGGGAAACCGAAGCUACUACCGGAUAAGAUCUUCUCCUUCAUGGGAGAUGAUUGAAAGAUGGUUUCGGCUAUCACUUACAGAUGGGCCCGCGGUGCAUUAGCUAGUUGGUUAGGUAACGGCUCACCAAGGCAACGAUGCAUAGCCGACCUGAGAGGGGGAUCGGCACACUGGGACUGAGACACGGCCCAGACUCCUACGGGAGGCAGCAGUAGGGAAUCUUCCGCAAUGGACGAAAGUCUGACGGAGCAACGCCGCGUGAGUGAUGAAGGCUUUCGGGUCGUAAAACUCUGUUGUUAGGGAAGAACAAGUACAAGAGUAACUGCUUGUACCUUGACGGUACCUAACCAGAAAGCCACGGCUAACUACGUGCCAGCAGCCGCGGUAA